GAUGAAGAACGUAGCGAAAUGCGAUAAGUAAUGUGAAUUGCAGAAUUCAGUGAAUCAUCGAAUCUUUGAACGCACAUUGCGCCCCUUGGUAUUCCGAGGGGCAUGCCUGUUCGAGCGUCAUUUCAACCAUCAAGCCCCCGGCUUGUGUUGGGGACCUGCGGCUGCCGCAGGCCCUGAAAACCAGUGGCGGGCUCGCUAGUCACUCCGAGCGUAGUAAUACAUCUCGCUCAGGGCGUGCUGCGGGUUCCGGCCGUUAAAAAGCCUUAUUUACCCAAGGUUGACCUCGGAUCAGGUAGGAAGACCCGCUGAACUUAAGCAUAUCAAUAAGCGGAGGA
rnacentral:misc_RNA from 1 species